ACAUAAACUGUCAACAAAAUAACAAGACAAUACCUAAAAACACCCUUAUUUCACACCACUAACAAUAAACAGAUAACAAUCUGUCAGGCACUCAGAGCUAAACAGGGUACAGAUUAUCUAGGGGCAGAUAAGGCUACUGAUGGGGUUUGCCUAGAGAUAAGGCUGUGUGGAAUAAGAUAUAAGGCUUUUGAUUGGCUAUUGCACCGAGGAAGUUAUCUUUUUGAAAACAACAACUUUUGAAAAACAAGCUGGUGUCAGCAAUUGAAUAUUGAGCUAAAUUUAAUUCAGCAACAUUAAUAUAAAGAAGUGAAAGACUUAUAAUGGUAGUGUAAAAUGUCUUGAAAUUCUGUCAGCAUGAAGUAUUGUGUGAUGAAAACAAUGUGUUUUUUACUGCAAUGUGGAAAUCAAUAAUAAGUUGGUUGGAAAGGAGGUUGAACUGCCUGUUGUUGUUUUUGGAAUACUGAAGAACAGUUUUAACAGGUUAAACUCUUGCCACAAGGCAAAAUUGACAUCCAUGGGAAGAUCCUUUGGAAAGAAUGUGCAUCAUCGCCUGCCUGAUGUAUGGACUUUUAAACCUGGUUUUUACCCUGCACAAGCUGGCAAACUUGAGGGGAUCAAGAGUGGGGAAACCUCGCCCUGUCCUUGACCAAGAAAGCUCGAUUUGUUGAGAGAUCAACUGGCAUAAGAGAUGCUCAAGAGGAGAAGGACACAAGCAGCAUCAAUGGUACAUGUCACUCCAGCGCCUGCUUUCCAGGUCUCUACCAGCUGCUUUCCAGGUCCCUCCACCAACCAAGAUCAGGUCUAGGUCCCUGCACUGGCUGCUUUCCAGGUCCCCUAGCGGUCAAGGUCUCUCCAGUAGCUGCUGUGCAGGUCCCAACACCGUAUGCCGUCAAGGUCCCUCCAUAAGCUGAAAUCCAGGUUCCUCAUUCCACUGCGGUUCAGGUACCUCCAACAGCUGAGAUCCAGGUCUCUGCAGCAGCUGCGGUCUAAAUACUCCACCCGCAGUGGUCCAUUGCGGUCAACCUUUUGCUUUAAAAUCUUCCAUAAAUGUCUAUUAUUGUAUAAUGUAUUGUAAAAAUAAUCUGUUUGUAUUAAUUUGCGGUGUACUAUUUUUGUCAUAUAAACAUAAUUUUCGUACACAUUGUGUUUUUUUCCCUUUUA